ACGGGAGGCAGCAGUGGGGAAUAUUGGGCAAUGGGCGCAAGCCUGACCCAGCAACGCCGCGUGAAGGAAGAAGGUCUUCGGAUUGUAAACCUCUGUUUUCGGUGACGAAACAAAUGACGGUAGCCGAAGAGGAAGCCACGGCUAACUACGUGCCAGCAGCCGCGGUAAUACGUAGGUGGCAAGCGUUGUCCGGAUUUACUGGGUGUAAAGGGUGCGUAGGCGGGACUGCAAGUUGGAUGUGAAAUACCGGGGCUUAACCCCGGAGCUGCAUCCAAAACUGUGGUUCUUGAGUGGAGUAGAGGUAAGCGGAAUUCCGAGUGUAGCGGUGAAAUGCGUAGAUAUUCGGAGGAACACCAGUGGCGAAGGCGGCUUACUGGGCUCUAACUGACGCUGAGGCACGAAAGCAUGGGGAGCAAACAGGAUUAGAUACCCUGGUA
rnacentral:rRNA from 1 species